UAAGAUCACCCGCUGAACUUAAGCAUAUCAGUAAGCGGAGGAAAAGAAACUAACUAGGAUUGCCCCAGUAGCGGCGAGUGAACAGGCAAAAGCUCAAAGUGAAAAUCCGUUGCAUAAAGUAAUGGAAUUGUAAUCUAGAGAGGUGUUCGGAGGUGAUCGGGCGUGGAAUAAGUUCCUUGGAACAGGACGUCAUAGAGGGUGAUAACCCCGUAGUCGUCUACGUCACGGACCCAACGAGCAUUUUCGAAGAGUCGGGUUGUUUGGGAUUGCAGCCCUAAAUGGGAGAUAAACUUCUUCUAAAGCUAAAUAUUUAUGGGAAACCGAUAGCGAACAAGUACUGCGAAGGAAAGGUGAAAAGAACUUUGAAAAGAGGGUUAAAAGACUUGAAAUCGUUGAGAAGAAAGUGGUAGAAGAGUAAUCAUUUGUGUACGAUAUUCGGGUUGCUUGGAG
rnacentral:rRNA from 1 species